CUGGCUCCUCGGAGGCAGGUGUUCCCUGUGGCGUCUCUCCAAGGUGGGACUUGCACGGACCCAGCCUGACACAGCUCACUUGGCAUUGCCCAGCACCAACUACGGGGACUGUACUCAGUGAUUGUGACUUCGCCUUGGGGAAUCCCUAGAGAGCUAUGCACUGAAAGAGGAAGAGUGAAAGAGAGAAUCUUCAUUCACCAAAGGUCUCACUUUUCCCAGCUGGGUUACAGAAUCUACGCCCUUUCCCACCUCAAGGGGGCUGUGGUAUGUCAGUGAGAUACAGCAUGCGACAAGAGAGCCCUUUGGAAAAGAUGAGAACGCUGACCCGGGAGACAACGCUGACGGGAGCAGGGCGAGCACAGAGGCUCUUCCGCCUACACCGCCUGCCUCCAGGCUCCAGAGCAGCACUGAUCUCCCUCCGAGACCACACGUGCAAUCAGCGCCGGAGGGCUUCAGGGAAGGCGUCAGGCUUCUCGCAUAGUCAGAUGUGUAUGGAGACUCGGUGGGCCAGAGAGGUGGCUCCAGCACAUGGUUUUGGCAUUUGUGUCGUCAUGCUUUGGAAACCCAUCCUGGCUUUUCUGUAGAGGUGCUUUGGGCUCUGAGCCAAGGGUGGCUGGGAAGACCACUGAGGAUCCCCUGCUACAGGGUCGGACUCAUCCUGCUCAGCCCAGUGAGGACAUGGUCAGAGUUUAGGCAGAGAAUAGCAAAUCGUGUUAGUAUGAGACAAACCUGCUAGAUGCUUCUGGAAGCAUUUCAACCGAGGGCUCUUCCUCUAUCGGCUUGCCCACACUCACUAGCCAAGUAGCUAGAAGGCCACAGGCUCCAGGAGU